rnacentral:rRNA from 1 species
CCUACGGGUGGCAGCAGUCGAGAAUCAUUCACAAUGGGGGAAACCCUGAUGGUGCGACGCCGCGUGGGGGAAUGAAGGUCUUCGGAUUGUAAACCCCUGUCAUGUGGGGGCAAAUUAAAAAGAUAGUACCACAAGAGGAAGAGACGGCUAACUCUGUGCCAGCAGCCGCGGUAAUACAGAGGUCUCAAGCGUUGUUCGGAAUCACUGGGCGUAAAGCGUGCGAAGGCUGUUUGGUAAGUCGUAUGUGAAAGGCGCGGGCUCAACCGGCGGACGGCAUACGAUACUGGGAGACUAGAGUAAUGGAGGGGGAACUAGAAUUCUAGGUGUAGCAGUGAAAUGCGUAGAUAUCUAGAGGAAUACUCGUGGCGAAGGCAGCCUCCUAAACUGCCACUGACAUUCAUGUUCGAAAGCGUGGGUAUCAAACAGGAUUAGAUACCCUUGUAGUC